GGGUUGUGAGGUUAAGCGACUAAGCGUACACGGUGGAUGCCCUGGCAGUCAGAGGCGAUGAAGGGCGUGCUAAUCUGCGAUAAGCGCCGGUAAGGUGAUAUGAACCGUUAUAACCGGCGAUACCCGAAUGGGGAAACCCAGUGUGAUUCGUCACACUAUCAUUAACUGAAUCCAUAGGUUAAUGAGGCGAACCGGGGGAAGUGAAACAUCUAAGUACCCCGAGGAAAAGAAAUCAACCGAGAUUCCCCCAGUAGCGGCGAGCGAACGGGGAGGAGCCCAGAGCCUGAAUCAGCAUGUGUGUUAGUGGAAGCGUCUGGAAAGGCGCGCGAUACAGGGUGACAGCCCCGUACACAAAA
rnacentral:rRNA from 1 species